rnacentral:rRNA from 1 species
AUGGCGUCCGAAGCGCCGGCUGGGGAUGAGCAGCGGCAGCAGUGCGGGCGGCCGCGGGGUGCCGCAAGUCUCGCAGGCGCGCCGGGAGGUCGUCCCGUCCGCUACCUUGCCACGGUCGCGUCUGCACCGCGCCCGCCCACCCACGCGGUCUCCCUGGAGCACGUCCUGGAGCGCGCGCACAGGCUCGUCUGCACCUUGGAGCAUGUCCUGGAGCGCGCGCACGGCCGCGGAUGCGCGCCGGUGUGCCGCACCCGGCCAAGCCCGGCCUAUCCAGGGACUCGACGACGGCGCGCAUCCUGCACCUGCCGGCGGACCCCGCGGCGGAGCUCGCCACGCGCGCCACCUCCUCCGCCCCGGCCACGCGCGCUCCUCCUCCGCCCGGCCACGCGCGGGCGGCGUCGGCCUCGGCCUCGGCACCUGCCGCGCGCGUCCGUGCCGUUGCGCCCCACCACUGACGGGAGCACCUCCAUGGCCUCCGACAUGGACGAGGCUUUCGACAUGGACGAGUCCUCCGACGCCAAGGAGGUCGAGGUCUGCAGCGGCGGCUACUCGGUCGACUCCUCGCCCCGCCACCGCGACGACGCCCCACGCUGCACCGCCGUGCCCCUGUACUGGUACACUAAUGUGCCCGCGGUGAGGAUGCAGAGGCCGGCCGGCGCGCGGCGAGGAGGUGGCUGCGACCAGCAGGGGGAGUGCCUGCGGGAUCCGGCCGGGGACGCAGCGAGGUCUGUGGCGCGGUGGAGGCUGGCGGGGAGGGGGGCGGACAGGCGGCGAGCUCGGUGGCGUGCUGGAGCGGAGCUCUGCUUGCGGAGAGAGAGAGGAGCCAGAUUCUUUUUGCAUGCAGAAAGGGGAAGAGAGGCUGGCUGUUGGGGUUUCACCAUGCAUAAAGUAGCGCGGGGCGUCCCAAGUGCCUCCCAGGGGCUGGGUUAUGCCUGCGGUCGCCGGCGCUGUUUUUGCUAA